UUCCAACCUUAAGACCAGUGGCUUUCAGGG
rnacentral:piRNA from 1 species